UCCUGGUUAGCUCAGUUGGUAGGGCGCUCCACUGGAGAGGUCCCUGGUUCGAUACCCGGACCAGGCG
rnacentral:tRNA from 2 species